GCGCGCGCAGGAACUUGGAUCUCAACCCCAGGGCUAGGUGCCUCCUCCCGCUGCUUUCCGCCAGCUGCGGGGUGUGAGAUUAAUCCCCGCCGAUUAGCGCCAGGUGUACUAAUCCCUGGAUGGUUCCCUGACCAGAUGAAACAUCAGCCGAUGUUCUAAUGCCCGUCCCCUGGGCACUGUCCCCGAGAGGGAAAACCUGUUUUCUGACCCCGGCUCUAGUCGGCCUCUGGAGAUCUGCAGCUGGGUUAUUUUACUUCUGAAACGGACGACACCUGCCCCGCGCACCCCAGCGGCUCCUCCACACGGAGAGAUGGUGUCAGUCAAAGGCCGUCUAGAUGACGAGUUUAUGAAAUUGUUCCUGGCCCGUGCCGGGCACGACCUUGCAGAGAGCCCAGAAGAUGAAACCCCAGCCCUGCCAGGAGCUCACCUGCUAAUUAGGAGGACAACGAAUCACCUCACCUCCCUAGACUUUGCUUCUCCUUUAUUCAGUGAGGGAUUGGACUAGCUGGUCCUUAAGGACUUUUCAGAAAGUCUGGUUCUGGGAGAUGACCAAUGGGAUCAUCUUAUGCUAUGAGCUUUCCUGGAAUGACAGGUAAUGGAGAGUGAGGAGAUUUUACCUGAUAUGGUCCUGUUUGCACCGUCAGCCAGCAACCUUUCUGGGAAGCAUGCUUAUUAUGUACCAACAUAGAAGCUUGAAUAUAAGGUCUGCCCACAUCAGUGCCCACCAGGAAAACUGCUGCUUGUGUUAUCAAGAAUUUAAAGAUCUAACAAGUACAGAAGGAGGAAAAGGUCAAUGUUUGGAGUGAAUUCUGGACUAACUGGGUGGAUAUAGCCUUAUCCUGAAUCACUUUAGAAGACUGCUAUCGACAUCAUUCCAAAAAGGUGGGAAUGUGCGUUUUCCAUCAUGGGACAAUUUUCAUCAGAUUUCUACUCUACUGGUGUCAUUACGUGUCCUUCCCCGAAAGUAUCAAAUACUUCCAAACCUCACUUUCGUUG
rnacentral:lncRNA from 1 species